GACGAACGCUGGCGGCGUGCUUAACACAUGCAAGUCGAACGGAAAGGCCCUGCUUUUGUGGGGUGCUCGAGUGGCGAACGGGUGAGUGACACGUGAGUAACCUGCCCUUGACUUUGGGAUAACUUCAGGAAACUGGGGCUAAUACCGGAUAGGAGCUCCUGCUGCAUGGUGGGGGUUGGAAAGUUUCGGCGGUUGGGGAUGGACUCGCGGCUUAUCAGCUUGUUGGUGGGGUAGUGGCUUACCAAGGCUUUGACGGGUAGCCGGCCUGAGAGGGUGACCGGCCACAUUGGGACUGAGAUACGGCCCAGACUCCUACGGGAGGCAGCAGUGGGGAAUAUUGCACAAUGGGCGGAAGCCUGAUGCAGCAACGCCGCGUGCGGGAUGACGGCCUUCGGGCUGUAAACCGCUUUCGCCUGUGACGAAGCGUGAGUGACGGUAAUGGGUAAAGAAGCACCGGCUAACUACGUG
rnacentral:rRNA from 1 species